rnacentral:rRNA from 1 species
CAACCUACGGGACGCAGCAGUGAGGAAUAUUGGUCAAUGGGCGGAAGCCUGAACCAGCCAAGUCGCGUGAGGGAAUAAGGCCCUACGGGUCGUAAACCUCUUUUGCCGGGGAGCAAGGGCCGGGACGCGUCCCGGCCCGGAGAGUACCCGGAGAAAAAGCAUCGGCUAACUCCGUGCCAGCAGCCGCGGUAAUACGGAGGAUGCGAGCGUUAUCCGGAUUUAUUGGGUUUAAAGGGUGCGCAGGCGGCCUGUUAAGUCAGCGGUAAAAGCCCGGGGCUCAACCCCGGCGAGCCGUUGACACUGGC